UGGAGAACAUUGGUGGUGGGAAAGCUUAUUUGGAUGGUCACCAACCACAACAGGACUGUUUAAUUCCAUAUUUGCACUGGCUCUAAUU